rnacentral:lncRNA from 1 species
GGCGUGCAUGCAAAGUAGAGGAUCUGCGCAUCCAGACCUCUGUGAAGGUUUAUUUCAGAUUUUUGGAGAUUUGAUCUCUUAUUCCAUUGCUAUCCAAGGAAGGUUUUGAUCCUUAUUCAUAUAAAUUUAUAGAAAAUUUAUAGAUACAACCUGGGCUAUUCGAAGAGAAAUAAUUUUUCUUUCCUUCACCUUGUACGAAAGAUCG